rnacentral:misc_RNA from 1 species
AUGCAUCUCAGAUAAUUAAGUAGAAGGAUUGGACGUUCGGUUGGAGGUGUCAAGAAUAAAUAUUUUUUCCUUCGCAGGAAAAUGAAGCAUGGCUAGAUUAAAUCUUUAAAGAUGCAUGAAGUGAUUUAGAGUUCUUGCUGUCCCUCCGAAUGAAAUUGGAACGAUAUAGAGAAUCAACUUCUUGUUGGAAAUUGUCUUCUUCUGUUAUUUUUCAAGUAUGAAUCUUAU